CUUGCAUUCUGAUGCAUUGCAAUUUCCAUUCCACAUGAUGAUGCAGCUGGUCAGGACUCUCUCGAUGGUGCUCCGGUAGAAUGUGAUGAGAUUGGAAGGGGGGAGCCUCAUAUGCCCCAGUCUCCUCAGGAAUUGGAAGUGCUGCAUGCUUUCUUGGCUAAAGGAGCGGUGUUGUGGAACCAGGAUGCCCACAACUCACCUACACUGCCAAGACCUUGAUCUGUUUCCUUGGGCAGUAGCUGAUUAUGCUGACAGGAUGAACUCUUAGUUGAAUACUUAACAUUGAGUGGAGCUCAGUAGUGGAAACUUGGAACAUUUGAGUGGUACCACAACUGAAAAAUCAACAGAAACAACAAUGAAGAAUCCUUCCACGUCCGAGUGCGACAGUAUUCCUGAGUCUCCACACAGGGCUUGCAUGACUGACAGCAGCGAAAAUGAAGAGGAAGCUACUGACAUGAUGAAGGGAGCGCUGAACACCACCAGAGAUGAAGGAUUUUCAUUGCUGUCCUAAAUGUCAGUGGAAUAACAGGCAGUAAGUAACAGGCAUUCAUCAUUAAGGACCCCCAUCACCUAGGAUACACCCUCUUCUCAUUGCUACCAUCAGGGAGAAGGUACAGGAGCCUAAAGAUACACACAUUCUGGGAACAGCUUCUUCCCCUUCACCUUCAAUUGA